rnacentral:lncRNA from 1 species
UGGUUGUGAAGACUUGGUUGAUAGGUUAUACUCUCUUGCCCGGUUUACCGUGCCAACCACUACUAACUGACACAGCCCCCUGAUCUGAUGGGCUCUGCCGACUGCAUGCAGCCUACCCACUACCUUUGGUCACUGUUUAUGCCGCCGACCGGCUAUAAUCUCAUCCACAUUAAUGCAUGGCAGGUGUUUUAGUCAACUGUCAUGCUUUUUCAUCAUUGCAAGUCAAAG